AUCCAGAUGACGAGUUCCAAAUAGGACGAAAUGUACGUUCUAGAU
rnacentral:hammerhead_ribozyme from 1 species